UCAUUUGUAACUGAGUGAAUAUCAGGGCCCGGAAAUUGUCCAUUGAUAAGAAUACCCCUUUGGCGAAGACCGAGUGGGUAAAUGUCUCCAUAAGUAACAUUCCAGUUGAAGAACCUGUACGGAUCAUCAGCUCCAACAAUGGCAAAAAGAGAGACGGCGACACAUAACAAAGUGCAAACAGCACUUGUUCCCGCUAAGCUUAGCGGCAUUGUUACCAACAGGAACCCUUUAAUUAGGCUCAGAGGACAGGAAGGGAGAAAAAAAAAAUGAAGAAUGGAGUGUGAGGUUCAGGCACUUGGAUGGGGAGAAGAAGCAAGUGAAUGAUGAGCUGAUGAGGAAUGGCGUGGCG
rnacentral:misc_RNA from 1 species